AUGGGUUAAGCCUUCCCCCUAAUCCUCUAGUGGCUGUCUCAUUGACAGCCACUAGAGGAUUAGGGAGAAGGCUUAACCCAUUCAUAAA